UGUUAAACUUUCACUCAAAGCUGCCAGGAGCUGGGUCUUUAAAAUAACCGCCGUCUCGUUACAGAGUGAAAGUAGCAGUUCCACCUUAAGGUCAGAGAUUGCAGCAUCUGAGGGCCUCUUCAAAAGAAGACGUAGUUGAUGAAGGCGUUCUGGAGCAGGACCACAAAGACCACGACCAAGCAGCCUUGAAAUCUUAGGCAGCGUCUCCCUCAGGUCCAUCUCUAUCUCCCCACACAUCCACCAACCACUGGAACACAUCUCCAAAGUUCUGCCAGACCAGCUCAGCUUCCCCUCAGAAGAAGUGCCGCCACCUGCCAGAUGAAGGAGCCUUUUGAGAGGCAGCUGGCAUCGUGAUUGGACUGUACUUUGGUCUGUUCCAAUCCAGCUUCAGCUCCAGAGACGGCAGGUGGGACGAGUCAACGGAGGCCGGGUGGACGAAGGCAUGCAGCUGAGUACAAUCCAGAAAACAACAGAGGAGGAGUGCAGCAGCCCAGGGCCAGAACAACCAGAGUAGCAUUACCAAAGAACUACAGACUCUUCACAACCUGCUCAAACUCUUGGUACAGGACCUCACCACACGGGUCAAGAAGGUUUCCGUCUCAUUUCUACUCUGAAGCUCACCUUCUCCUGCUCAAACUGCUGACAAAUGUUUCUGCUGCUCUAAAGUCUGGUCUCCAGAACUUCCUAAAAACUCUCAAAGUCUCUUCUGCUGCAGGUUGCUUUGUAGAACUGUUCCAGAAAACCUCACUAAACCACAUGGAGGGGCCUCAAGAUAGUCGUCCAAAUGAAACCAUACAAAAACCAAACUAGCACAACCCAAACGCUAAAGUCUCCUGCAGCCUACCAGAGAACCUCUGAGAACAGAGAAACAGGACAUGAACUCUUACCUUCUGGACAACCAACAUUGGUUCUCAAACAAGAAUACAGAAUGUGUCUGACCAAAAACCUCUAAAGACUCACUACAGCCAAGAUAAAGACACAACUCAGCUGUACCAAAUCCACUAAUCACUGCACACAUUAGCACCAUGUGCUAACUGUGGCUAAAGAACCACAUUUACCAAGACAACUAUCCAGUACAAAGCCCUAAAACACACCAAGAAACACAUUAAAGACGAUUUUACUGCUGGAAGCUGCAAGCCAACGCCUAAACAAACUAAAGCAACGGAGCCAAACCCGGUUCUGCGGUGAAGAGAAGCAGAGGAAAUGUUUGACUGCAGAAAAACAAAGCAGGAAGACACCGAGCUGCUCAGGUGUUCCUGAUAACACCUGAGCAGCCACCUGGACAGCCAAUAGGAACACAGCUUACUGGAAGUCCAGAGGGCUGGGUUAGUGAAGGAAAUUUAGUUUAAAGUUGAGGCAGAAAGUUAACAAAGAAAGUUGAAAACCACCUUCUGAUACCUGAAAUCUCUGAGUUUUCACACAAAGAACGCCUGAACAUGUCAAACUGGUUCCAUAGUAGAA